rnacentral:rRNA from 3 species
CCAAACUGUUGCCUCGGCGGGGUCACGCCCCGGGCGCGUCGCAGCCCCGGAACCAGGCGCCCGCCGGAGGGACCAACCAAACUCUUUUCUGUAGUCCCCUCGCGGACGUUAUUUCUUACAGCUCUGAGCAAAAAUUCAAAAUGAAUCAAAACUUUCAACAACGGAUCUCUUGGUUCUGGCAUCGAUGAAGAACGCAGCGAAAUGCGAUAAGUAAUGUGAAUUGCAGAAUUCAGUGAAUCAUCGAAUCUUUGAACGCACAUUGCGCCCGCCAGUAUUCUGGCGGGCAUGCCUGUCCGAGCGUCAUUUCAACCCUCGAACCCCUCCGGGGGGUCGGCGUUGGGGACCUCGGGAGCCCCUAAGACGGGAUCCCGGCCCCGAAAUACAGUGGCGGUCUCGCCGCAGCCUCUCCUGCGCAGUAGUUUGCACAACUCGCACCGGGAGCGCGGCGCGUCCACGUCCGUAAAACACCCAACUUCUGAAAUGUUGACCUCGGAUCAGGUAGGAAUACCCGCUGAACUUAAGCAUAUCAAUAAGCGGAGGAA